CGCUGUACAUGUAGCCAAGGAUGAAUUGCCAGCGUUUUGUUGAGCUCAGUAGGAGUGGUUCGUCGCGCUGGCAAGUCAUUUCUGGCUACGUGUUUGCCUCG
rnacentral:pre_miRNA from 9 species